rnacentral:rRNA from 1 species
UACGGAGGGGGCGAGCGUUAUUCGGAAUUAUUGGGCGUAAAGGGCGCGUAGGCGGCUUGGCAAGUCAAAGGUGAAAUCCCUCGGCUCAACUGAGGAACUGCCUUUGAAACUGCCUGGCUUGAGGCCGGGAGGGGGUAGCGGAAUUCCCAGUGUAGCGGUGAAAUGCGUAGAUAUUGGGAGGAACACCAGUGGCGAAGGCGGCUACCUGGACCGGUACUGACGCUGAUGCGCGAAAGCGUGGGUAGCAAACAGG